rnacentral:rRNA from 1 species
AUUGAACGCUGGCGGCAUGCUUAACACUUCCAAUUCAAACGCAGCGCGGGCUUUGGCCUGGCGGCGAGUGGCGAAAGGGGGGGGUAAUACAUCGAACGUUCCCCGUUGUGGGGGAUAGGCUGGCCGAAGGCGGAUUUAAUACGCCAACGAACCGAGGGUGGAAGCGGGGGGUCUUUGGGACCUCCGCUAUUGGGGUGGCCGAUGGCAGAUUAGCUAGUUGGUGGGGUAAAGGCCUACCAAGGCGACGAUCUGUAGCUGGUCUGAGAGGACGACCAGCCACACUGGGACUGAGACACGGCCCAGACUCCUACGGGAGGCAGCAGUGGGGAAUUUUGGACAAUGGGCGAAAGCCUGAUCCAGCAAUGCCGCGUGUGUGAUGAAGGCCUUCGGGUUGUAAAGCACUUUUGGCGGGAACGAAAAGGACUGUGCCAAUACCACGGUUCGAUGACGGUACCCGCAGAAUAAGCACCGGCUAACUACGUG